GCGGCUUGCACUUGCAGUCUCCCGCUUAACCUCACUGUUCAAAGACAAACAGCCGGUGAGCAAAGGAGCAGAGCUCUCACACUAAGCAGAGUCUGUCUUCCUGUCUGUAUCCGGAGAAGGUCCCGGCCAGCCGCCAGACCGUGUGUGAUAUUUUGUGUUUGAGUGUGAGGUGAGAGCAGGUCGCGACUCCUUUAAGAAGUCUACUCAUCUGACCAUUUGCCCCUGUGACGCGUUCCUCGGUUCUCGUCGGCGGGGCGUCUCGCGGAUAUGCUGCACCCUUUAAACCCACUGAAGGAGCGCGAGCGCAACCUAUGCUGGACUGAACCGUAAUCCACCUGGGUGACGGUGAAGUUCGGUGUGUCAUUCCCAUGGAAUCUACUCCCGGUCGUUUCCUCCAUCUACCGAGAGCAGAAAAACGGCGAGCAGCCGAGCGAGCGAAUCACGUCUCGCGCCUCUUUCUCCAGACCAACUAAUCACGUCGUGCAGUAUGAUGGUUGUAGUAUAAACGGGACAGCCACACACAUCGUUACACAUUGUGACACACGCACACACACGCACACACACACACACACGGGUGCACACACACACACACACACACACACACCUGCAAGGCCUUCUCAUGUGGUGAGAUGACAGCAGCAGAGCAGUUAGAUAUGGAGGUCAUGACUCCUCUAAUGGAGGCAGCCCAAGAGGACAACUCUGAAGAGGAGGCGGAGCCCAACACUGUGCAGGCCAAUGAGGAGCAGCGGA